GUUAAUAACAAAGGUUAUGGACAGACUGCAGUCGUGGAAAGGAAAGCUCCUCUCGGUAGGCGGCAGGGCUAUAUUGAUCACAAAUGUUCUACAAAGUAUGCCAAUUCAUAUGUUAUCAAUAGUUAAUCCUCCUAACUAUGUCAUUACCAAAUUACAUAGCAUACAAAGUAUGCCAAUUCAUAUGCGAUCAGCAGUUAAUCUUCCUAAAUAUGUCAUUACCAAAUUACAUAGCAUUUUUGCAAAAUUCUUCUAGAGCAGUAAUGUGGGAGGAAAUUCAAGACAUUGGUCAUCCUGGACUAACCUAUGUCUGCCUUAUGAGGAAGGGGGUAUAGGUUUCUGAUCACUUCAUGAUGUAUCCAAGGCACUUUUUCGCAAAUUCUGGUGGAAUUUUAGAACAAAACCCAGUCUAUGGAGUGCUUUUAUGUGUCAAAAGUAUUGUAAGAAAUUAAAUCCAGUAAUAGUACCUUGGAAGGGUGGAUCACACGCUUGGAAGAAAAUGCUUCAAUGCAGAGAAUUGAUUGAGCAUCAAAUCUUCUGGAAAUUGAGAAUGGGAUCGUCUCAAUGUUGGUUCGACAAUUGAACAGAGAUGGGAGCAUUAUACUUCCAAAUGCCAACAACAUUCCCCAUUGAUGAAAACAUUCAAAAUGUAAAU
rnacentral:lncRNA from 1 species